CCUGGGUCUUCGGUACGAUGAGCGAACGCUUUAGCCACUAGGCUACCACCCACCCCACCCCCAUUUUCAUAUUGCGUGUUACGUUACAGUGGUAUGUUAUUAGAUGACAGAGAUUGUCAUAUUGUCACAUUUUGAUGUUGCGUGUCACGUCACAGUGGUGUCUCCUCAGAUGGAGAUUGUCAUAUUGUCGCAUUUUCAUGUUGCGUGUCACGUCACAGUGGUGUCUCUUCAGAUGAGGGAGAUUGUCAUAUUGUCACAUUUUCAUGUUGCGUGUCUCGUCACAGUGGUGUCUCCUCAGAUGAGGGAGAUUGUCAUACUGUCACAUUUUGAUGUUGCAUGUCACAUCACAGUGGUGUCUCUUCAGAUGAGGGAGAUUGUCAUAUUGUCACAUUCUGAUGUUGCGUGUCACGUCACAGUGGUGUCUCUUCAGAUGAGGGAGAUUGUCAUAUUGUCACAUUCUGAUGUUGCGUGUCACGUUACAGAUGACCCUGAUGCCAGGACAGGACCGUUCCCCAUAGAGAAGUUGUCGCCUACGACUCGACACAACCUGCACUCAAUGAUUGACAUACUAGCUUCAGGUGAAGCCACUCUGGAAAAAGAUGACACAGGAAAAGUGACAGUGGCCUACAAAGACACACGGAAAAUUCCCGUUUUGAGCCAUGUGGACAAAUCAAGAAGCAAUGUGAUACACGUAUCAAAGACUGACAAAGAUCGCCAGAACCAGGUGAAAGUGUGCCUAGAAAUGAUAGACUUCAUAAAGACCAACAGGGCCCCGAAAGGUGUGGACUUUGAUCAGACAAAGGUCAAACUCAGCACAACUGGUAAAUAUCGUGAAGGUCAUGAGUUUACCAAACUGCUGAAGGAGAUUCUGGGUAAGGGAGCCACUGCUGGAGAUAUAGUGGUCGUCAAGGACACCGAGACUGGCACCGAGCAUGCUCAGAAAACAGUGAUGAUAUCCGACUUUCGGACUGAUGAGGUUCGGGCAUGGGUGGAUCUGCAGGAAUUGAAACUGGAGGGAGAAGCCUUGUGUCCAGCUUUGUUUUGUUUCUAUCUGCAAGAUAAUGAGAUCUUCUUCCACAUGGAGAAACUGGAUAGAGCUAUAACCCUUCGAGAUGUUAUUGACAGUCAUAUGCAGAAGAUAAGAGAUGAAGAGCCAAGCCUAGUCCGUCCCUUCUCGCUCUACAUCUGCCAUGGACUUCUGUCUGCUGUGAGUCUCAUCCAUGACAAGAACUGGACGCAUCGAGAUCUGCACGCUGGAAACGUGAUGGUGCAGGAGAAGAACCACAAGUUGUCCCUGAAGGUGCUGGACUUUGGGAAGGCUCAUCCCUUACGUGGGGAAUCUUAUGACCUUCGGGGUGAACUAGAUGACAUCUACCAGAUCAUCCGUCUGUUCAGCGCCAUCUAUGUAGGAGACGAGUUCGAAAGUGCCAAGCACAUGAAAGACAGCUAUAAGCAAAGUGAACUUAUCGAAACAUUAUCUUCAGAUGAUAAAAAGGAGAUGUUUCAGCUGAUUGAUGCAUUAUUAUGUGUUGCUGAGAGUGAACACAAGAUGGACAAUGCUUUAAAAGAAUUAGAAACAAAGAUGGAGAGCACAGAUAUCCAUGACAUGCUGAAGAAAGUGGCAGCUAUUCUGUUCCGUGAAUCUGAUUACAAGUCCUUACACGAGAACGACCUUGGAGUAAAGUCCGAGAGGGAGAGGAUGUGUGUGACUCAGUCACUGAUCUGAGCGAACGAGCUGCAAGCAUCCCAGAUGACUUCAUCAGUGAACUACGUCUUGGCAUCAAAGUCCGAAGCAUGAUGUAGAUAUUCGCAGCUCAUGGCAUCACCUGCAGACUAUGACGCCUGCCAUUCAACUCAUGUCAACCAGGAAGUGGUGAAAAGCAGCCAAUCUGUGGUAUAUCUUGACUACUUUUUACUGAAUGUGAUAUUGUCCACUGGAAGUCUCCAAGGAGUAGAUACAUAGAGGUCAGUGCAACAUGAAUGAGAAGAUCUUGCCACCAAGGGGUCUGUAACUCCAAUGUUUUGAAGUGGACUUAACAUAUUCACAGCUCUAGUCAAUACUUCCUAAGGCUUUGUUACAACUGUAGUGGUUCACGUAACAACAGUGAAGUUUUUAGUGAAUAAGUGAUACUUCUGUUUUACAACAGUCUGGUCCUGUAACAGUCACAUGUCCUUGUUACAACAUCUGGUCCUGUAACAGAUACAUGUCCUUGUUACAACAGUCUGGUCCUGUAACAGAUACAUGUCCUUGUUACAACAGUCUGGUCCUGUAACAGAUACAUGUCCUUGUUACAACAGUCUGGUCCUGUAACAGAUACAUGUCCUUGUUACAACAGUACUACAACUUUUGAUUUCUCAGCAAGGGCUAAUGAGAACAUGAUUAAAGUUCUUUCAUUAUAAUCUUCUUGCAUCAGUUUGUUGAACUCCACCUUUUUGCCCAAAGUGUCCUUUUAAUCAUGCAUAAUCUUCAACAUGCAUGGUGUCUUUUAUAAGCAUUUAUAUCCGUUGUUGAUAAUCAUGGGUACUUUAUUCCAUCAAUCAUAUUUGAAUGGUGCUAAUUUAAGAGUUUUCUAUGAUGGCCUUUACACCACAGUCCAUCUGAAUAUAUCUACAGAUUACAACACGUGGUCAUAUACUGUUGAAGGUCUGAGUGUAUUGUCCAUGUUAGUGAGCCAACCAAAGACAGCAGACAUACUUAAAACCAUUUUGUGAUUUUACUGGCUCUUCUUUUAGAUACAGUAAACUAUGUUUGUAAUGAACACACAUAUAAUGAACUCACAGAUACACGGAACCGUGUUUUCGGUUCCCUGACACUUGGUGUAUAUUUUACUUGGAAGACGAACUACAGUUCCUUUGGGUUCGUUGUAACCAUAGUUUACUGUCAGAGAGCUUAUUUGAUAAGGAUUGGUAGUGUAGUUUUAUAGUUGCUGUUUGACACUACUUGUAGGAUCUGGACCAGAUAGUUCCUUGUGAUAUUCUGCAAAGAACCUUUCUGUCAGGAUGUGAUAACACACUGUCAUCCUAGUCAUAGAGCCUAGCCUCCUGAUUCCUGAAGUUAUCUCUCAAGCUAUAAGUUUAGAUUUCUGUAAGAGAUUUCUGUUUCACCAGCGAUACAAGGUUGAUGUUCACAGUGAUGCAACCAGACUCAAGAAUUCAUGGACUAAAUGUUCAGUAAACAGUUUGACGUUAUUUAGUUAGUCUUAAUGUUUGGUCAAGGAUAUGUCAUUCACAAUUCAUCAAUGACUUACUGUUCACGAAUGAAUUUUUCAUUUUCUCAAAAUAUGUUUUUCAGGGGUUUUUUUCUGGUACUUUAAAUGUCUGGGUGAUUAAAACAGUUAAAAGUGUAAAACUGGUCUCAGAUUGCUGUGGCAUGUUGUACUUGGUGAACUGUAUCAGUAUUCUAUCACAAUCACGUGAUUACACUAGCCUUGGUAGAAGCAUUGCUUCUAUGCAUUUACGCAAUAACGUGUGAUGACUGUAUUGGUAUACCUGUAUACUGCUAUGUUUUUAUGAUGAUGUAUAUCGCAAUAUUUUGUUUUGUUUUGGUGUGUUGGGUAGAAACUGUACUGCAAGUUUCCUUAUUAUUGGUAUCAUUUGCCAUAAAGUCUAUACAGAAAUUCAUUCUCAAAUUUGAGAAGUCACGAGUGAUUUUUCUGUUAGGGUGGCAUCGACUGACAGUACUUACUUUGGUGUAAUGAUAUUUAAUUUAGUAUGUAGAAUAUAAGAUGUACAUGUACAGUGUCAGUCCCUGCUAAGUGCUGAAGUACCUAAUUUUUAAAUUUAUCCCAUCUCACGGUAUGCACCUCUCUUCUUCUUCUAUGACCAUGUGUGGAAAUGUGCUGAGCGAUCUGCACGCUUAUUGAGAUGAUUGACUGGUACUGCUAUCAGAGUUGGGGCAGAGGUCAGGUGGUCAGAGGCCGGAAGUUUUGAUUCAACUUAGCCUACAGCACGUUUCCACACAUGGUCGUAGAAGAAGAAGAGAGGUGCAUACCGUGAGAUAGGAUAAGCAUAUAAAUAUACAAUUUAUAGUAAAAUUUCCAAAUAUAUUACUAAACAAUGUUUUUCGUAGUUUGGUUGGGGGGUGGGGGGUGUUAACCUAGUGGGUUAGAGCUUUCUCUUGUAAAUUCCCCACAUUGGUAUAAUAUGUGAAGCCCAUUUUUGGUGUCCCCUGCCAGGAUAAUGCUGGAAUAUUGCUAAAAGCGGCAUACUUACACGUACUCAUUUAUUUCUUUUGUCAACAAAAAUCUAUGCUCGAACCCUGCUGUUUCUGUAAGAUGAAUAGAAAAUAGACAUGCAAGCAGACUUCGUUUCAUAUUAAGGCCUCCAUUAGGGCAUGACAGUGUUUGUGUUCCUCAUGCCUUGUAUUCUGAAGUGUAACCAAUUGUGACAUGUUUUGUCUUGUAACUCAAAAUUGUGCUGGUUGUACUUGCACAGAAUUUAGUGAGUUGCUAUUUCAGUUUUGGGCUGGUAAUUAUCCUUUGUUGAAGUAAAUACUAGUAACACAAGUGGUAUACUGGUAUUUCUUCAUAAGAUUCUGAUACAUAUCCACCUGUGUGGAUUUCUUGUUUUUGUAUUUUGUUGUUUGAAAAUAUAAUAUUAUAACUUUCUCUGAAAUUCAAUGUUAAGCCCUACAGGGUAGGAGGUUUGUUUCUAGUGCAGGGCAGAAAGGUUACAGAUAUUCUUUAUAGAAGUUGUUCAAGUAUGCUGUUUCAGAAAUACAUGUAUUGCCCCUUCAUAAUUUUGAGGUUUAAAAUUAUUUUUUUGAUUUUAGUUUGUUGUAACAUCAUGGAUUCAUAUAUGUUCCUGAUACAACCGACCAUUUUACUGUUUUGUGAAUUUAUUGGAUAAUUUAUUCUAAAUGUACCUGAUAAUUGAGUUUAUAUUUUAUCACAAAACCUGAAUCACAGAAUGGUCACAAAAGUCUACAUGUAUUGUUUGAUAGGAUCUCUGCCAUAUGACUGGCAGCCCACAAGAUCUGGGUCCACUUGUACUAAGCUAUCUUAGAGCUACGAUGAUCGUUACUCCUAUACUAACAUAGACUUAAGAUAAUCACAGCGCAAAGAUCACUUCGCGCUGGUCAGCUGAAAGUAAGCAGAAGGUGGCCAGUUGCACUGAGAAGUCCAUUUCUCUGAGUAUACAGAUGAAUAACUUUCAUGUAUGUUUUGUCAUCAGUAGAAUCUAUUCAUCCAAGGUAGGGAUUCAUCAGAUGAAAUAAACAUAUCAUUAGUUGUUGGGCAGUUACUUUGGGAGUGUCCAAUGUUUUUAUUUCAGUAGCCUUUGUAACCAGUAGGAAAAUGCUUGCAUCUGAAAGAAAGUUGAAAAUGAGGUUGCACCAUUUAUGUGUAUUUAUAUCUGUACAUUUUUGUACAUCUGUUGAUUUUAGGUCUAAUGUUAUUUCUUGAUAUGUUGCAUCUCCUCGAUUCCAUGACAAGUCAACAUUAUGUUCUUUGGGAUUUUUGUUUUGUUUUUGUCUUAUUCAUAGUAUUUAUGUCCACUUGACUGAAUUUAUUUUAGACUUUGAAUUUACUUUAGAGUUUAGACUUGGCUUCACAGAAAUCAAAUGAUUCUUGUUGAUUACAAAAGCAACUCAUCUUGUCCUACUUCAUUGUUUCUUAGAAGAGUUAAAACAAUCUGCAGAACAGUGCUAAUGAUUUCAUAACAUUACUUUAGUUUUAGUUUUCUUUUGUUUUCUUCAGUGUUUGUCUGUAGUCUGAAACUUUGCAUACAUCGUGAAGUAAUGAUGUUUCUUAUCGUUGCUAACAUGGCUGUAACAAGGUAGUAGACAUGGCCACUUUGGCAGCCAUAUUGAAAAUGUUGAAAAUUACAAAAGUUAUUGUUCCAUUUAAAAUUAUUAGGUUAUGUAUAAAUAAAGAUGAAUAUGCAAUGUCAUUUUGCGGCGGUGGCUGAGUGGGUUAGAUCAUUGACUUUGUGUGUUUGGAUAAGGUGCCUGACUCUGAGAGUGUGCUUUUGAAUCUCAUAUUUAAGUCAAACCCCAGAGUUCUAGAAUUUGUACUUAACCAAGAAAUGAACUCCCAAAUGUAACAUAUGUUAUAUACAUCAUAAAGAUGUUUUCAUCUUUUGGCCCUAUUAUGACCUUGAACCUUCACAAAACCUUAAUAUACUGUACUAAUUCACUUUUAGCUUGUAAACAAGACUUUUAGUUCUAGUUGUCAUUUUCAUAGACUACCAAAAUCUAGUCAUGGACUAGAGUGAUCCAGUGACAAAACCUUGAGUCAUAUGCUGGUGUAUGUAAUUGUUCAUAUCAUAUUCACUUAUGAGUUAUAAGUAUUCAUGUGUCUAGUCCAAAUUUUCAUUUAUAGUGCUGUGGUGCAUCAGAAUAUACUGAAAGGUGUAAGCUGUAAGUUUGUUUUUUAUGUUAUUUUCCUUUGUUUUUGCAAUAUGUGUUUGUUUAUUCCUCACCAGCAAUGAAUAUCACCUUUUCAGAGAUUUAGUACACUAUUUAAGAAUGCCUGAUACAAUUGGUUGUAUCCAUUAGACAACUGUAGAUGUCACGUAGGCAAGUUGGAAGUGACAGACCACUUCUAAUUGUAAUACAUUGGCAUUUCAAAGAGGUUUUCCACUCCUGUUUCCAUUUGUGAGUACCAAUCUAGCAUUAAGUCUCUGUAUUACUUCAUGUAUUCGCAAUGAUAAAGCUAACAGGCAGCAUUUUUACAGAAACAGGGCCAAGAUACAGGGAACCUUUAUGAAAAUACUACUAAGAUAAAGAAUACUCUAUGCCAAUACACUAAAAUACAGGAAUACUUUAUGACAAUACACUAAAAUACAGGAAUCCUCUAUGACUAUACACUAAAAUACAGGAAUCCUCUAUGACAAUACACUAAAAUACAGGAAUCCUCUAUGACUAUACACUAAAAUACAGGAAUCCUUUAUGACAAUACACUAAAAUACAGGAAUCCUUAAUGAUAAUACACUAAAAUACAGGAAUGCUUUAUGAAAAUACACUAAAAUACAGGAAUCCUUUAUGACAAUACACUAAAAUACAGGAAUCUUCUAUGACAAUAUGGGGCGGUGGGGUAGCCUAGUGGCUAAAGCGUUGGCUCUUCACGCCGAAGACCCGGUAUCGAAUCCCCACAAGGGUACAUUGUGUGAAGCCCAUUUCUGGUGUCCCUCGACGUGAUGUUGCUAGAAUAUUGCUAAAAGUGGCGUAAAACCAAACUCAGGCAGUCAGUCUAUGACAAUACACUAAAAUACAGGAAUCCUCUACUGCUUGUGCAGUUAUCAAGAACAUGUUUGUUUAGCCCAGUGACUUUCUUCUGUAGUGUGUUUCCUGUCAUCUUCCUGAAAAAAUGUAAUUUGUGUAACCUUGCAUAAUUGAACCCUAGCUCUCCAGGAUUGUUAUCUUUAGUAAUGGUUUGGAUUAAUCUCUAGAUGUUUCAACUGUUUGGUGGAGUAUCUGGUGUCUGGGCUGGUCCCUUUCCAUAUCUUGUCAUUAAUAUAUUUAUGCACUUUUAUCCAGACCAUGUGAGAAUUGUAAUAAAACAAAUUCAAGAA
rnacentral:misc_RNA from 1 species